UACGUAGGGGGCGAGCGUUGUCCGAAGUUACUGGGCGUAAAGCGCGCGUAGGCGGUCAUUUAAGUUCGGGGUGAAAGGUUCAGCGCUCAACGCGAACAGUGCCUUGAAUACUGGGUGACUUGAGUUCGGGAGAGGGCAGUGGAAUUCCUGGUGUAGCGGUGAAAUGCGUAGAUAUCAGGAGGAACACCGAUGGCGAAGGCGGCAUCCUGGACCAAUAUUGACGCUGAGGAGCGAAAGCUAGGGGAGCAAACGGG
rnacentral:rRNA from 1 species